rnacentral:miRNA from 2 species
UAGAUGUUGUUCUGAUUGAC